UCGAGGCGAUAAGAAUUUUGCUCGUUAGACCUAUUUUACUAUUAUAGAAAUCGAGCAAUUCGAUAGCACCGAGCGAGUGAUAGCUAUCGAUGCAAGUGGUAGAACUUUUCGAGUUGUUUGGUUCACUUGUUGCAUAUCUUCAGAGAAUUAUUUUGUUUUGGUUUGCGUCCCUGAUAUUUUCCUUUAGGAAACAUUUCAGAAACGCUUGAAUAUAUGCAAUUUUCAACACAUGUUCGUUUGUUUUGAUCAGUAUUUGUUUUACGGUGCUGCCAGAAUAGUCUAUACAAGCACAUAUUUCAGUGGCUGAAAACGAGUGGACAGACAAAUCACCACCUGUUUGAACGACUCGUUGAACCAAUGGAAGCGAAUGUAAACAUUGCUCGAGGUAUUCGUGGAGGCAGUUCAAAUAAAAUCCCGGUUAAGGAAACGUGGGAGGAAUUCAGUGAGGAGCUUAAUGCGCUGAGACCAUCAAUGCCGUCUUGGUUCAGAAUGCCAGAAAAUUUGGAUUGACAUGAGGUGAAAAGUAAAUAAACACUAGCACACAACAAGCGAGAAUUCAGGGCCAAAGGUGGUGGCCCAAUACAAUAAAGAAAUUGUCGCCGCUACAACAAGAAAUCGACGCUAAAAGAGAAUUACAUCAAAAAAGUCACAGGAGGGUUGUGUCCGAGACACGACCGCAGUAGGACGUAGGAUUCCGUUAGUAGGAUUCCGUAGGUGUUGAUUUUGGAUAUGUUUGAAGAAUUACAUCGUUAAACUCUUUGAUAAUGAUUUGGUGGCCUCCUGAAAAGGGCCGUUUUGUUUGGUUGUUGUGUAUUGUUUGUUCACUCCACCAGUGUUUACCGAGUGAUGAUGACAGAAGGAUGAUAAACAGUCGUUGGAGGGUGCGUAUCAGAUAAAAGAUACCGAAGUGGAGCGAGAUAUGAUGAAAACCGUCCUCUGUGUCCCUAGACGAGAU